CCUACGGGUGACAGCAGUGAGGAAUAUUGGUCAAUGGACGAGAGUCUGAACCAGCCAAGUAGCGUGAAGGAUGACUGCCCUAUGGGUUGUAAACUUCUUUUAUAUGGGAAUAAAAUGUUCCACGUGUGGCAUUUUGUAUGUAACCUAUGAAUAAGGAUCGGCUAACUCCGUGCCAGCAGCCGCGGUAAUACGGAGGAUCCGAGCGUUAUCCGGAUUUAUUGGGUUUAAGGGUGUGGUGGUGGAUUGUUAAGUCAGGUGUGAAAGUUUUCGGCACAACCGUAAAAUUGCAGUUGAAACUGGCAGUCUUGAGUACAGUAGAGGUGGGCGGAAUUCGUGGUGUAGCGGUGAAAUGCUUAGAUAUCACGAAGAACUCCGAUUGCGAAGGCAGCUCACGGGACUGCAACUGACACUGAGGCUCGAAAGUGUGGGUAUCAAACAGGAUUAGAUACCCUUGUAGUC
rnacentral:rRNA from 1 species